UGGAUACUCCCUUCGUCUGGAAAUACUUGUCUGAGUAAUGGAUGUAUCUAGAACUAAAAUAUAUCUAGAUAUAUUCAUUUCUUCGACAAGUAUUUUUGGAUGGAGGGAGUACUAG
rnacentral:pre_miRNA from 1 species